rnacentral:rRNA from 1 species
CGGGAUUGCAAUGAGAACAAUUUAAACCACUUAUCGAGUAACAAUUGGAGGGCAAGUCUGGUGCCAGCAGCCGCGGUAAUUCCAGCUCCAAUAGCGUAUAUUAAAGUUGUUGCAGUUAAAAAGCUCGUAGUUGGACUUCUGGAAGGGUGCCAAUGUCCGCUCGUUAGCGUGUGCAGCGGCGCCCUUCCAUCCUUCUGUUAACGUUUCUUGGUAUUCAGUUACUGGUUUCGGGCUCAGAUAUUUUACCUUGAGAAAAUUAGAGUGUUUCAGGCAGGCUUGCGCCGGAAUACAUUAGCAUGGAAUAAUAGAAUAGGACUUUAGUCACCUUUGUUGGUUUGAGGGACUGAAGUAAUGAUUAAUAGGGAUAGUUGGGGGCAUUAGUAUUUAAUUGUCAGAGGUGAAAUUCUCGGAUUUGUUAAAGACUAACUUAU